GAGGUACGCGGUCAACGACCUGUGGUCGUC
rnacentral:sRNA from 1 species